CACGUAGGGUGCGAGCGUUGUCCGGAAUUAUUGGGCGUAAAGAGCUCGUAGGCGGUGUGUCGCGUCGGCCGUGAAAACCUGCAGCUUAACUGUGGGCUUGCGGUCGAUACGGGCAUCACUGGAGUUCGGCAGGGGAGACUGGAAUUUCUGGUGUAGCGGUGAAAUGCGCAGAUAUCAGGAGGAACACCGGUGGCGAAGGCGGCCGGCUGGGCCACGACCGACACUGGAGG
rnacentral:rRNA from 1 species